UAAACGUGCUACUCGAAUGCGCAUGCGUGAAAACUCGUCGCACCGUCCCGCACUGCCUUCCCCCCCGCAAUUUUGUUUUCCGUCUCCCCUUAUAUUCCUACGUCUAUGGUCUAUGUUGGCUUAUGUUUUAACCUAACUUACAGGAAAAGAAGCAAUCAAUACACAUUACUCGUUUGGUGAUCGGUCGAAUGUAUCUCUCUCUCGCGUGUAAUUCUUCUUUCGUACAUAUCUUACCAGGAGAUUCGACGACAGAUGACGAAAAAUUCCGACAAGGCUUCAAACCACAAUAAAAAAUCUAGUCUAUUUAAAUUUUCUUUAGAGUAAUGGCCGUUGAUUUAGAAACCAAAAUUGAAUUUAAACAAUUAUGCGAUACAUUGGAAGAUGUUGCUAAGGCACGUGAUGUGAAAAAGAAGGAGCAAAUUUUGCAAACGUUCUUCGAUAAAUGUCGGUGUAUUGGCGAUAAAUUGAAAGUAGAAUAUCCUAAAUCGGAUAUAUCACUCUAUCCUAUAUUAAGAUUGAUACUGCCCCAUCUUGAACGACAGCGUGGACCGCAUAAUUUGAAGCAAACUUCGCUGGCAAAUCUUUACGCUCGUGUAUGCGGUUUUGCAAAAAAUAGUGACAGUUAUAAAAAGUUGGCAAAUUAUCGAGAAUCCACGUCGGGAGAAUUUACAGGAAAUGAUUUCGCUGACCGAGCUUACUCCGUAUUGGAUAAAACGUUACCUCGAAUCAGUACUGGAUUUACGAUCGCGCGGAUCAACGCGUUUCUUGAUGGUAUCUCCAAGAAAAGCGCACACGUAACGAUGGAGCAAAAAGUUGAAAUGUUUCGAGUACUUUUUCGACAGAUUACAGGAUUCGAAAUGAAGUGGGUGACGCGUAUUGUUCUUAAAAAUUUACGACUUGGCAUAGGAACGGAAAGAAUAUUGCACAUCUAUCAUCCCGACGCUAAUGAUAAAUUUGACGUGACGAGUGAUCUACGCGAGAUUUGUUACGAGUUACAUGACCCUAAGAUCAAAUUAAAAUGCGGCAUACAAAUAUUUUCGCAUUUUAAACCGAUGCUCUUAGAGAGAUGUAACAUCGAAAACAUCAGCAAAUUAUUUCGGGGCAAUGAUUUGUACUACGUGCAAACUAAAUUCGACGGCGAGAGAUCGCAACUCCAUAUGAAGGAUGGAAUAUUUAAAUACUUGACCCGUAGAGGUUUCGAUAUUACAAAGAAUUCUGGAUACGGAGAAACUGGAUCUUCGGGUUUUUUAACCACAGUAUUUACGCGGUGUUUGAAUCCGAAUUGUCACUCUUUUAUAUUGGACGGAGAAAUAAUGGCUUGGCAUAAAGAGAAAAAGACAUUUAGUACAAAAGGUAUGAAUCUUGACGUGAAAAAGUUGUCAGCGACCAGUCGUCAUCAGCCGUGCUUCGUCGCGUUCGAUGUGAUUCUGCAUAAUGACACCUUGCUCAUUGAUACACCUUAUAAAGAUCGAUUAAAACUUCUCAAGGAUAUGUUCACCGAAGAGGAAGGUUCUCUAAUUGUAUGUCAAUCUACUUUAACGUCAAACAGGGAAGAAUUGAUAGAGGCAUUCAAUACAUGUCUCCGUAAUAACGAGGAAGGACUUGUUGUGAAGAAAUAUAAUAUGAAAUAUAAACCAAACGUCCGAGAUGGCAACGGUUGUUAUAAGAUUAAAGCAGAGUAUUCUGACAAUUUAGUACAAGAUAUAGACCUCAUCGUACUUGGCGGUUAUUAUGGAGAAGGCAAAUAUACAGGAAAAAUUAAAAGCUUUAUGAUGGGUGUUGCUGCAUCAGCGAAAAACGAAGGAGAAAAUCCGUCACAAUUUUUCUCUGUCGUAUCUGUAAGCUCUGGAAUAGGGGAUGAAAUGUUGCUUCAUUUACAUACGAAAUUUGCACCAUAUUGGACCAAGGAACAUCCUGAAAAUAUCAUUGGUCCUAAAGGAAAUCAGCCGGAUCUAUGGAUUUAUCCAAAACAUUCUAUAAUUUUAACAAUACGAGCGACCGAGAUGAUACGUAGUAAGGAAUAUCCAAUUGGAUACAGUUUACGAUUUCCUAGAGUUAUGAAUGUGAGGCCAGAUAAGCCCUGGCACAGUACAUGUACUACUCGUGAAUUUCUAUCGUUGGCCAAGGACGGGAAAAUGAUCCAAAAGUUAACUAAGCGGGAAGCUACUCUGCACGAUAUUGACCAAGUACCGGUCUCUAAGAGUAAAUUACAAAAGACAACAAGUCGAGAUAAAUCGAUCGAACACAACGUGUACAGCAAGCGCAUAGUACCACUCACGCGACUAUUAGACGGAAAAGAAAUUUGCGUGAUUAAUGGUGUCGAUGAAUUACCGAAGGAACAAAUUGAAGAAAUACUGCAGCAGCAUAGUGCAAAAAUUGUUCAGAAUCCAAUGAAUACAACUUUUUGCGUGAUAGUAGGCAAUAAUAGAACGAUACGAGGAAAAGAAGUAAUAAAAUCCAGUGGAAAAUACGACGUUGUAACUUUGGAUUGGUUUAAACGUGUCACUAAUCAAUCCGACUGGGCCUCGUUAAAUAAUUUUUUACCAUGGGAAUUAUUAUGCAGCCGAGACAUUACUAGACACCAAGUUACAGAAAACUAUGAUGAAUAUUAUGAUAAUUUCAUUAAUGACGCAGAUGAGGAGAGUUUGAAGCGUUCAUUCGGCAAGAUUGCGAAACCGAUUGUUUUCGAGCUUGCGGACAAUCAGUUUACCGUUGAGCAGAUAGAACUGGAUAAGGAAUUGUUCGGAAGUAUAUCGCCUUAUUCAUUAUUUAGAGAUGUAAUUGGAUUUUUUGAGAAUCAAUCGUGCCGCGCUAAAUUUAAGUUCCGUUUCAUGUCAGGUACAGUUAAAGACAACAUUGAUAAUUCCGUUACGCAUGCCUUUGUAGAAGAUAACGAGACGAGUAUUAUUGCGAAAAUACGUGAACAAACAUCCACGAAAAUCGUUAAAUGUAAAUGGAUCGAGGAAUGUUUUCGAAAUGGCCGAAUAUGUGAAAUUACAAAUUAUCUGAUUGAUUAAUUGAAUUGAAGAUAUACAUAUAAUGCUAAGAUGUGUAAAAACAAAUAUAGCAAAAGUUUCAUAACACGAAGAAAUGUUACAUGUGUAUUUUCGACGGACGAACUUGCGAUAUAUUCAUGAGAUCGUUUUAACUCACAUUUUCGUGAAGCACUGAGAAACUAGGUACUAGGCAGAGUGACAGUCGGACAGUUCCCUCAUUUAACAUCUUCCCGUUUCGAAAUAUUUCUUCUCGACUUGAGCAGCUACCCUUGCCCAUCUCGUUUUAUUUCAUCGGAAUGCGCGCAAAAUACGAAAGAGACGCAGCUGCGACGUUCCUCUUACAAAGCCUGCCAUUCAGAGAGAUCUCGCAUAUAGAUUAACGUCAAAAGAUCGCGGAAAGACUCGAGGUGCAUACAUCGAAAGGUUAUAAGCGCGAAAGAUUAUAUUUCCAUCAUUGAUAUAUUUCAAAUAAUUUUCAAUUUCUUUUUACCGCUUCCAACUUCCAAUCUUUCUUUCAAGAAUUAUCGUUUUAAGAAUAACUUUUGAUUUGAGUAAAAGAGAAAUACAUGACAAGAAGGGAAAAUUGUACAGGUAGAUAUAAAAUUCUAUAAUGUGAAACGAAUAAUUUCAUAAAGAACUGAUUAAUCAAUUUGAGAAAGAAAGAGAAGGAGGAGAGAGGAAAAAUAAAUAUUUUACGUUUUUCGUUGCAAUCAACAACAUUGACAAAUAAACAUCCUAAUUCUUGCAGUUGCUGAAAAUAUAUUAAAUAUAUCAUUUUACACACACAAACACACACACGUAUAUACAUCACACGAUCAAACCAAGCGACCAUCUCGUUAGCAACGAGGAGGUGUCUUGUGUCUACGAGAUGGGACGCGUAUUAAUCGAGUUUCGGAUUUUCGGAGCGUGCGACCGGGCGUGUCACUCUCUUAUAGUAUGUCAAAUUUAUUCAUAGAAUUUCUCAAUAGCUAACUCGCGAGUUGCCAAUUAUACAUAGAUAGAGAUACUCGUAAGAAGUACUAUUGCUGUCCGUUGUGCAUAAUAGAACAAUUACGCAUAAUGGCAAUAGCCGUAAUAACUCGAUAACUACCUGUGUGAGUCCUGUGACAAUGUUGACAUGCCGCAUGCUGUCGACACUAUCGACAUCGUUGUAUAAUUCAAUAAAUUAAUAAUUGAAA